AGGUCCUCCUUGAGUGUUUGUAAGCUUCUUAGCUCCUCGUUUUCCCAUCCUUUUACCGGUAGAAUACGGCUGAGGGAACAGAGUAUGACAGCAGAGCAGUGUGAUGAAUUGGGAAUUUAAUCUGCAAAGAGAAGAUUAGAAUCUAACGUGAGUAAGAAGACAAGAAAUCAAAAAAUGGAAGCAACAGACGCAUUUUGAUGUAACUUAACCAAAAGCAAAUCGAAUAGAGAACUGCACCAAAGGUAUAUAUAUGAACUGCAAUUUCAUUACAAAAAAAGGAACCGUAUCAUCACGAGAGUAGGCACCUUGGUAUUUAUCUUGAGUUUGUUGGGAAAGGAGACUGGGGUAUGGUUGAGUUGUGUCUUGUCUUGUUCGUAUCGGUGAAGAAAGCCAUUAAUGGUGGUGUUCUCUGUUUUUUUUGUGAAAAGGAGUCUUUUUUCUCCGAACCCUUAGUCAGUAGUCAAUUGAAGAAGACAAAGGAGGGAUCGAAGUAGAGUAAUUGAAGAAGAAAAGCGUUAGGGAAUCGAUUGACAAAAAAGAAGAGGGUUAG
rnacentral:lncRNA from 1 species